GUGCUCACUUCAGCACCACAUAUAGUAAAACUGGAACAAUACAGAGAUUAGCAUGGCGCGUGUGCAAGGAUGACACACAAAUUCGUGAAGUGUUCCAUACUUUU